GUUAAGCACACGUGGCACAAAGCUCAAGGACCGGCAGAAGGAUCCCGGUUCGAGCCCCCGGCUCCCCACCUGCAGGGGAGUCGCUUCACAGGCGGUGAAGCAGGUCUGCAGGUGUCUGUCUUUCUCUCCCCUCUGUCUUCCCCUCCUCUCUCCAUUUCUCUCUGUCCUAUCCAACAACGAUGACAUCAAUACCAGCAACAAUAAUAACUACAACAAUAAAACAACAAGGGCAACAAAAGGG